GAAACGUCAACUCUUUUCUUCUCCGCCGAUGCUGCCAGACCUGCUGAGUUUUUCCAGGCACAUUUCCUUUGAUAAAUGGAAAUUUUGGGUGAUCUGCUGGUGGAUCGUUAAAGAGGAAUUUUUUACUGACGUGUCUGAAGUCCACGCAGCGAAUUCAACUUAACUGUUUCACUUGGAAUGGAUACUUUUCUUCGUCGCAUCCCUUGUUCCAGAAAAGAUUCCUCGAUCAAACUUUUUGGGUGAAGAUAACAUGGAUUCUGUGGAUCGUUAUACCUUUGAUGGAUGGACAUGGGACCUUAUUUUUGCCCUAACCCAUUGCAAUUUGAUGGAAUUGUAUGAGAUAGCCCAACGGAAUGAAUUGAAACUUAGUCUAUAUACCGGACAUUAUAAUGCAUGGAUGAAGCUGUUAAGUGUGACUAAUACUAAUUUGACUAUAAAUCCAGACCUGAAAUGUACGCAGUGUAAUGACACUGCAUGCAAUAUAACAUUUACAAUUCUAAAUGGAACUUGUAAAGAUAUGUAGUGUAAAUUUAUUACAUUACCACAUUUAUUUAGAGCUAAGUUUUGGCUCCCCAUAUUCUAUGGAAAAUGGUUGAAUGAAUAUGAUAAGACCCAUGUUGGGGAGGAUUGUGAGUACUGGCCUGAAGGAUUGGUACGUCCUUAUCACACCCCAGUGUUUGAGCCAUGUACCAUGUGAGCUUCGGGAGGAACAUGUAAAUGGAGGAAGUUACCUGUAAAUAAUAUACGAAUCAGGAAUUAGUUCAUAUUACAGACGAAUUACAUACCUUAACCGUCCAUCAUUGGUGGGAUAUUUUCAGCGGAUGGUCUCCCAAAGCCUCCACGAUCCUCUCCUUAAUUAUGCAUCCAACUGUGAUUUUACUAAUCAUACUCUGGAUUGCAUUUUUGGUUUUAUCGAUAUUACUAUGUAAAUUUUAUAAAUUGUAUCAUAAGGUAAUAGCUACUGAGCUAUUAAUUUGUGCAUAUACUCAUUUGCUUGAUAACCCUUGAGUAUCAAGGGGUGGAAUGUGGGAAUCUGCAGAUUGCCACGGUCUCAGAAUGAUACUCAUGGGUUAAUAUAGUAUAAUUUGUCUAAUGCUUGCAAACACCAGAUGGCUGUGACUGAUCCGGGAAAGAAUGUAACAAACAAGAUGAGUCCAUUGUUUGUACCAUACUAUAAAGGCAGGGACCUUCCAUUCGAAUUCGGACUUCACCUGUGGACUGGGUUCGCAACCGGUGCCAAGGAACUUGAGGAUAUCUCUCGACUAGCCAUCGCCGCGGGGUCCCCAAUGGGCAGAUGGACGUGAGAUUAUUGCUUGUAAUUGUGUAAAUAUAAUAAAGAAACAUUUAUAA